rnacentral:rRNA from 1 species
CCGCACAAGCGGCGGAGCAUGCGGAUAAUUCGAUGCAACGCGAAGAACCUUACCAAGGCUUGACAUACACCGGUAACGCCCAGAGAUGGGUGCCCCUUUGUGGUCGGUGUACAGGUGGUGCAUGGUUGUCGUCAGCUCGUGUCGUGAGAUGUUGGGUUAAGUCCCGCAACGAGCGCAACCCUCGUCCUAUGUUGCCAGCGGGUCAUGCCGGGGACUCAUGGGAGACUGCCGGGGUCAACUCGGAGGAAGGUGGGGGUGACGUCAAAUCAUCAUGCCCCUUAUGUCUUGGGCUUCACGCAUGCUACAAUGGCCGGUACAAAGGGCUGCGAUACCGCGAGGUGGAGCGAAUCCCAGAAAGCCGGUCUCAGUUCGGAUUGGGGUCUGCAACUCGACCCCAUGAAGUCGGAGUCGCUAGUAAUCGCAGAUCAGCAACGCUGCGGUGAAUACGUUCCCGGGCCUU